rnacentral:rRNA from 1 species
GACGAACGCUGGCGGCGUGCUUAACACAUGCAAGUCGAACGAAGAGCGAUGGAAGCUUGCUUCUAUCAAUCUUAGUGGCGAACGGGUGAGUAACGCGUAAUCAACCUGCCCUUCAGAGGGGGACAACAGUUGGAAACGACUGCUAAUACCGCAUACGAUCUAAUCUCGGCAUCGAGGAUAGAUGAAAGGUGGCCUCUACAUGUAAGCUAUCACUGAAGGAGGGGAUUGCGUCUGAUUAGCUAGUUGGAGGGGUAACGGCCCACCAAGGCGAUGAUCAGUAGCCGGUCUGAGAGGAUGAACGGCCACAUUGGGACUGAGACACGGCCCAGACUACUACGGGAGGCAGCAGUGGGGAAGCUUCCGCAAUGGACGAAAGUCUGACGGAGCAACGCCGCGUGAGUGAUGACGGCCUUCGGGUUGUAAAGCUCUGUUAAUCGGGACGAAAGGCCUUCUUGCGAAUAGUGAGAAGGAUUGACGGUACCGGAAUAGAAAGCCACGGCUAACUACGUG